GAUAAACGCUGACAGAAUGCUUAACACAUGCAAGUCUACUUGAAUUUGGGUUUUUAACUUAGAUUUGGGUGGCGGACGGGUGAGUAACGCGUAAAGAACUUGCCUCACAGCUAGGGACAACAUUUAGAAAUGAAUGCUAAUACCUAAUAUUAUGAUAAUAGGGCAUCCUAUAAUUAUGAAAGCUAUAAGCGCUGUGAGAGAGCUUUGCGUCCCAUUAGCUAGUUGGAGAGGUAACGGCUCACCAAGGCGAUGAUGGGUAGCCGGCCUGAGAGGGUGAUCGGCCACAAGGGGACUGAGACACGGCCCUUACUCCUACGGGAGGCAGCAGUGGGGAAUAUUGGACAAUGGACCGAGAGUCUGAUCCAGCAAUUCUGUGUGCACGAUGAAGUUUUUCGGAAUGUAAAGUGCUUUCAGUUGGGAAGAAAGAAAUGACGGUACCAACAGAAGAAGUGACGGCUAAAUACGUGCCAGCAGCCGCGGUAAUACGUAUGUCACGAGCGUUAUCCGGAUUUAAUGGGCGUAAAGCGCGCCUAGGUGCCUAUAUAAGUCUGAUGUUAAAAUGAAGGGCACAAUUCUGUAUUGCGUCGGAAACUGUAUAACUAGAGUCUGGAGAGGUAAGCGCACAUACCGGUGGGGAGGUGAUAUUCGUAGAAAUCUGUCCGAAUGCCGACGGUGAAUCCACCUUACUGAACUACCCUGACGCUGUAUUGUGAUACAUGGCUCGCGAUUUUCUCAGAUCACGCCUCGAUUCUCCCGGGGCAGUCCACAUUGAAGGGAGGCCGGCGUAUUCUGAUCUUCGAGGGGGGGGCUAGCGCGGGGGUCUAUCUCUUCCUCCCGUGGUUGCUUAAAAAACAAGCGUCCCCCCCGCGC
rnacentral:rRNA from 1 species